rnacentral:rRNA from 1 species
GCAGCCUGAUCCAGCAAUGCCGCGUGAGUGAAGAAGGCCUUCGGGUUGUAAAGCUCUUUUGUCAGGGAAGAAACGGCCUGUUCUAAUACAGUUGGCUAAUGACGGUACCUGAAGAAUAAGCACCGGCUAACUACGUGCCAGCAGCCGCGGUAAUACGUAGGGUGCAAGCGUUAAUCGGAAUUACUGGGCGUAAAGCGUGCGCAGGCGGUUUUGUAAGACUGUCGUGAAAUCCCCGGGCUCAACCUGGGAAUGGCGAUGGUGACUGCAAGGCUAGAGUUUGGCAGAGGGGGGUAGAAUUCCACGUGUAGCAGUGAAAUGCGUAGAUAUGUGGAGGAACACCGAUGGCGAAGGCAGCCCCCUGGGUCAAAACUGACGCUCAUGCACGAAAGCGUGGGGAGCAAACAGGAUUAGAUACCCUGGUAGUCCACGCCCUAAACGAUGUCUACUAGUUGUCGGGUCUUAAUUGACUUGGUAACGCAGCUAACGCGUGAAGUAGACCGCCUGGGGAGUACGGUCGCAAGAUUAAAACUCAAAGGAAUUGACGGGGACCCGCACAAGCGGUGGAUGAUGUGGAUUAAUUCGAUGCAACGCGAAAAACCUUACCUACCCUUGACAUGGAAGGAAUCCCCGAGAGA